rnacentral:rRNA from 1 species
AUGCCGGCCCCGUCCUUGCCUCGAGGUCGCAGCCACCGCGUCGUCCACAUCCCGUCACCUCGGGUCGAUCAGCGCCGAAGCCCUCGCAACGAGUCGCUCACCUUCCUGUUGAUCCGCCUCGACGUGAACUACAUGACGCUCUCCAACCUCGACGACCCGUGCCUCCUCCGCUACCUCUUCGUGUUCACAGGUGCCGUCGACGUCGACGCCCUCAGGACGGCGCUGUCCAGAGUCCUCGUCGACUACUACCCGCUCGCCGGCAGGCUCGGGCCCGGGGACGACGGCAAGCUUGUCGUCGUUUGCAACGCGGAGGGGGCGCUUUUCGGGGAGGGAUUCCUGCCGGGGCUCACCGCUCGCGAGUUCCUCGAGGGGUCGGCCACGCCUCACGAAUCCUGGAGGAAGCUGCUCCGCGGCGGAGCCGAGCUACAGAGCUUCAUUGGCGUGCCCACUCUUGUCGUCCAAGUGACUCGCCUCGGCUGCGGCGGCACCAUCCUCUGCACGGCCAUCAGCCACUGCCUCUGCGACGGCAUCGGCGCCGCACAGUUUCUCCAUGCCUGGGCGCGCGUCGCCAGGUUCGAAGCCGCCGACCAUCACGUCGCGCCCUUCCACGACCGCGGCGUCCUGAGGCCGCGCUGCCCCCCGCAUGUCGCGUUCGAGCACCAGGAAUACGCCAACUCCCUCCCCGGCGGCGAUGAACUGGCGGCAGCGUCCAGCCUCUUCGUCGGACCGCUGGCGCGGGUGUCUCUGACCUUCACGGGGGCACACGUCCAGCGCCUCAAGGACCUGUGCGCACCGUGGCUCGAGGAGGGCACAUCCUUCGAGGUGCUCGCGGCGCACGUCUGGCGCGCGUGGGUGCGGUCCCUCAGCGCGCCGAGCGACCUCCGCGUGAAACUCCUCUUCACCGUUGACAUCCGCCGUCGGGUGCACCCGGGCCUCCCCGGAGGGUACUACGGCAACGGCUUCGUGCUCGCGUGCGCCGAGUCCAUGGCUGGGCAGCUGGCGGCGCCAUCCGGCGCGCACCACGCGGCGAGGCUGGUGCGGGCGGCCAAGAGAUGA